rnacentral:misc_RNA from 1 species
AAUUCUCAACCUUCCAGCUUUUAUUAGCUUGGUUAGGCUUGGAUGUGGGGGUUGCAGGCUUCAUUAUUGAGGUCAGCUCUCCUUAAAUGCAUUAGCGGAACUUUUGUGGACCGUCUAUUGGUGUGAUAAAUAUCUAUGCCGUGGAUGUGAAGCAGUUUUAUAAAGUUCAGCUUCUAAUCGUUCAUUGACUUGAACAAUUUUAUGACA